UACGUAGGGUGCAAGCGUUAAUCGGAAUUACUGGGCGUAAAGCGUGCGCAGGCGGUUUUGUAAGUCUGUCGUGAAAUCCCCGGGCUCAACCUGGGAAUUGCGAUGGAGACUGCAAGGCUAGAAUCUGGCAGAGGGGGGUAGAAUUCCACGUGUAGCAGUGAAAUGCGUAGAGAUGUGGAGGAAUACCGAUGGCGAAGGCAGCCCCCCUGGGAUAACACUGACGCUCAUGCACGAAAGCGUGGGGAGCAAACAGG
rnacentral:rRNA from 1 species